rnacentral:rRNA from 1 species
GAACCGCAUGGUUCAGACAUAAAAGGUGGCUUCGGCUACCACUUACAGAUGGACCCGCGGCGCAUUAGCUAGUUGGUGAGGUAACGGCUCACCAAGGCGACGAUGCGUAGCCGACCUGAGAGGGUGAUCGGCCACACUGGGACUGAGACACGGCCCAGACUCCUACGGGAGGCAGCAGUAGGGAAUCUUCCGCAAUGGACGAAAGUCUGACGGAGCAACGCCGCGUGAGUGAUGAAGGUUUUCGGAUCGUAAAGCUCUGUUGUUAGGGAAGAACAAGUGCCGUUCAAAUAGGGCGGCACCUUGACGGUACCUAACCAGAAAGCCACGGCUAACUACGUGCCAGCAGCCGCGGUAAUACGUAGGUGGCAAGCGUUGUCCGGAAUUAUUGGGCGUAAAGGGCUCGCAGGCGGUUUCUUAAGUCUGAUGUGAAAGCCCCCGGCUCAACCGGGGAGGGUCAUUGGAAACUGGGGAACUUGAGUGCAGAAGAGGAGAGUGGAAUUCCACGUGUAGCGGUGAAAUGCGUAGAGAUGUGGAGGAACACCAGUGGCGAAGGCGACUCUCUGGUCUGUAACUGACGCUGAGGAGCGAAAGCGUGGGGAGCGAACAGGAUUAGAUACCCUGGUAGUCCACGCCGUAAACGAUGAGUGCUAAGUGUUAGGGGGUUUCCGCCCCUUAGUGCUGCAGCUAACGCAUUAAGCAC